GAUGAACGCUGGCGGCGUGCCUAAUACAUGCAAGUCGAGCGAACGGACGAGAAGCUUGCUUCUCUGAUGUUAGCGGCGGACGGGUGAGUAACACGUGGAUAACCUACCUAUAAGACUGGGAUAACUUCGGGAAACCGGAGCUAAUACCGGAUAAUAUUUUGAACCGCAUGGUUCAAAAGUGAAAGACGGUCUUGCUGUCACUUAUAGAUGGAUCCGCGCUGCAUUAGCUAGUUGGUAAGGUAACGGCUUACCAAGGCAACGAUGCAUAGCCGACCUGAGAGGGUGAUCGGCCACACUGGAACUGAGACACGGUCCAGACUCCUACGGGAGGCAGCAGUAGGGAAUCUUCCGCAAUGGGCGAAAGCCUGACGGAGCAACACCGCGUGAGUGAUGAAGGUCUUCGGAUCGUAAAGCUCUGUUAUUAGGGAAGAACAUAUGUGUGAGUAACUGUGCACGUCUUGACGGUACCUAAUCAGAAAGCCACGGCUAACUACGUG
rnacentral:rRNA from 1 species